rnacentral:lncRNA from 1 species
AGGUAUGAAAUAAUUUCCUAUUGAAGUCAUCUUAACAUGGAACCAGAAUUAAAUCCUAACAACAAUCAUGUGAGCCUGGGGAGGAUCCUUCCCCACGUGAGCCUUCAGGGGAGACUUCAGCCUUGGCCAUCUUCUACAUCUAGAUUCCUGACCAAGAGAAGCUGUGAGUAAUGUGUAUGUGCUUUUCAGCCACUCAGCUGUGUGGGAAUUUGUUAUACAACAAUAGCUAAGUAACACACCUGGCAUUGAAUGUAAUGUGGUAUCCUAGAUUAGAUACUGGAAUAGAAAAGUGACAUUAUUGGAAACCUGAGGAGAACUAUGAAGAAAGUCUGUAGUUCCAUUGAUGGUUUUAUAACACUGUCAAUUUCUCAGUUUUCAUGAAUAGUCUAUGGUUAUAUAAUGUGUUAACAUUCCUUUAAGCUGAAAGGUAUAUGAAACUCUCUGCACUAUAUAUACCUCCUUCUGUAAGUCAAAUAUGAUUUCAAAAUAAUUUUAAAAUAAUAUUUUGGUGCAAAACAAAAACCAACAAAAAGACACAAGAACAUUAGCUUGGUUUCAGGAGAUGGGGUGGGCAAGUAGGGAAAGAACAGCAGUGCAGCUUUCCUAAUCUAUCCACCAUUCGGAACCCAGGUGCACCUGCUUCAGUUAAACACAGUUAGCUCUGGGGACUCUCAUCCAUUUUUGUCUUUGAAAUCAUGCUACUCAUUAUCCACGAACAUUUCAAGUGUCAGUAACCACUUCUUCAGAGAGAGGUGCCUGUUCCUCAUAUAUCCCAGGAUGCCCCAUUUUCAGGCAUUGUCUGGCAGUUUAUUCACAUAAUUCCAGUAAAGCCUUUCUGGAAAAAAUGACUGCUGGACCUUAGAAGCCGAUAUUGCAAAAUGUCAGUGACAGGGAACACAAAUUGUAUUUCUACAAUCAGGAGAGUGUUUUAAUUCCCUUGGUACAGAGAUUUGUUCUUCAACUGAUUAUCAGAUCACUGUGAUAAUUUCUAUUUCUCUUGUCAUGAAUUAUUUGGGACCAUAUAUUCUGUUGCUCUUCACAUCUUGGAAUUAUAUUGUCCAUUUCCAAGGUCAAAGACCACAGAAUAAAUGUCAUCCUGGCAGCAGGUGAGUAGGGCACACAAACAAUGCUUCUAAAUAUGGUGGUUGAUGACAAUGCUUGCUUACUAAGACCUCGAUAUGAAUCUGUGGACAACUGGUUUUUGGCAGGUGAAGUCAUGUGAGUGAUUCAGUAUAUGCUGUGUAUGGCUGGAGAAAGCUGAGUAGAUACAAGAAAAAGCAGUGUGUAACAGAUCUCCCCCCACCAUGCAGUGAUCUAAGAGAUGGACCCAGGCUAAAUGGUGACUCUGCACGUGUUCUGGCUAAACAAAGAAUCUCACAGCAGGAAGAACUGUCCAGCUGUCCCCCACAUAGGUCCCUGCUCAUAGUUCACGGCACUCUGCGGUGUUAGCAUCAGGGUUGUGCCAAAGAACCAUGCCUACAAAGCCUCCCAAGCCAUGAGUCUGCAUGCUGCACUCACACAGACAUAGACAAAGCCAAGACUAUUGCCUUUAUGAUGGUCUGUAAACAUGGGGCAUAUUCUCUAUAGCACAUUGAUAGCUUAUAUGAGAAAAUGAGAUCUUGCAGCCUGGAGACCUAGAGUGGGAGAUAUGACUGACCUCGACCACAUUUUUCACUUCUGAUAUCAGCAUAGAAGUGAUUUAGGUGCUGUUAUUUGAGCAUCUGUACUUUAAGAAACCUUCCACGUCUUCCAAGUUCCAUAUACUUUACUCUUUAAGACAUGACUCCUCUUUUAAAUUUGACAUCUUAAAGGAGGUUUAUUCCAUUUUUUAAAUUUUAACUGAAGAUACUAUAGUACAGUACUUAAAUGACAGAUCUUCUGUUCCUCUUCAUUUUAAUGCAUACUUUUUGAUCUAUUAUGAUGCAUACUGUGAAUAUUCUGCCCACCAAUAAAUGGACCAAAAAAUGGCCAGAGUGACACAUAUGAGCCACAGUUAGACCUGGACAUGAGUUAUGAGGACUACCACAUGGUGGUCACAAUAAUUGAGAUCUGAGUUCUCAAAUUUAAAGGAAAACAGGCACUAUACACAAAACUCUACUGACAUAUUAUCAUGGACACAAAGGACAGAGUGCUGAGCACUGAGUGCCCAAACAAGUGCUUUAACAGCAUGGAAGGCAUGAUUUCCCACAAUAUACUAAGCCACUAAAUUCACAAAGGCCACCACAAUUCUAAAAAAAGAUGUCACUGCAAACAAACCCAAGUCUUAGACCACAAUAUAAGACAAACAUCCCAACAUGCUGUCUCCACACUCUAGCCUGAUUAGGAGUUGUAGUUCAGUGGAUGAAUGGCCCAUAUAUUUAACAUCAUUACUUCAUGUUCAUGCAAUUCAACCUUCCUGCAGUCUAAAACUAUAGGUGAAAUUUCAGUCAAAGUCCUAAAUUAUGAAUUGUAUGAGUUUCUUCUUCACUUAAUAUUUUCCCAGGGAAACAGGAAAACUAAUUUCAAUAUCCAAGUGUCCAAAAGUAGAGUUUGCCAGAGUAGCAAGGGGGCAGAACAAAGCAUUUUAUGAAGAUCACAAUGCAUCUGCUUCUACAGUGCCUAUGUAUUAUCACCAUUUGUGUGAUUAAAAGGGUGAAUGAGAAUGAAGAAAAACAGAGAUCAAGAAUGUUAUAGAUUAAAGAAUUGAAUUUGUAAUGUAGCUUGCAGGGAUCAUUGCUUAUAUUACUAACUUUAGGACACAAUUUUUUUAAUAUAGAUUUUCCUUAGUCUUUAGAAAACUAGCACUUCAGGAAAAAUUUCAAGUGUCUCUCUACAAUUUAUAUCUUCCUCAUCAACAGAUUUCUUGAACCAUAGUUUAUAAAACAAUUACAGCACUUUACUAAUAAGUCUAAUAUUUCUAAUAACUAAGUAGAAUGUAAAUAGAAUUGUUAAAUUAAUGUGAAAAUAUAUACAACAAUGUUUACUUAAUAACAGACUAAAAUAUAGCAGAUUAGCCACCAUGAUUUUUUCUUUUUCUUUUUGAGUUGGAGUUUGCUGUUUCGCCCAGGCUGGAGUGAAGUGGCGAGAUCUCCCCUCACUGCAACCUCCGCCCCCGGGGUUCAAGUGAUUCUCCUGCCUCAGCCACCACCAUUUAACACUGAGAAGUGGGCAGUCACAGAGAAAAAGUUUAGAAUAGUUCACCAGUGAAGUCAUCUCAACCAGCACAGGGCCUUGACUCCUAACAACAAUCACACGAACUUGGAAGAGGAGCCUUCCCCAACUGAACCUUCGCUUGAGACCUCGUCCUUGGCCAUCCUCUACAUCUGGAUUCAUGAUACAGAGAAACUAUAUAAUUUAGCAGGACUCCAACAAACAGACCAGAAUUUAUUGAGAGCUUGCAGUGAGGAGUGCCUUAAUUCCAACACGACUAUGUUGACAACACAUCCUCUUGUGAGUGAAGCAUUCAUACAGAAUGAGUCGUUGAAACUCAAUAACAUAUGCCUACUGUACAAGAAAGUGAGUAAUGAUGACACUAGCAGUCCAGCCUGCAUGGAUGCUGACAUGGAUGCUGUCUCCCAUUCUUACCACUGGAUGGGAAGAAAUGCUAGAUGCAAUCCAGCCAGUCUGUACUCGACUGUCAGUUCCAUCUUCUCAACUCACAGUGUCUUCCAAAGUCCGUGCCACACCACAGCCUGGAACAUCUCCCAAGGUUUCAAAUAAUUCAUCAGUGAAUUCUUCUCAACCUGGUCAAUCAUGUGAACUUAGAAGAUGAUUCCUCCCCAGCUGAUCCUCAGGUGAGACAUCAGCCUUGGCCAUCAUCUACAUCUGGAUUCCUGACCCAGAGAAACUGGAACACUAAGACCCAUUCUUCUUCUCAAGUAUCCAAAAAUAAAGUUGAUCCAAGUAAGAAGUGGACAGCAUAAAAGAUUGUAUGGAAGCUAUAAUGCAUCUACAUCUGCAGUAACUAAUCAUAAAAUGAUUUGUAUGAUCAUUCUUCACAUGAUUAGAAUUACUAUGGGAAAGAAGAAAAAGAAAUGCCUCUCUGGAUGGUGACUAUAACCUAUAGCCUUGCCCAAUAUGACUCAGGAUUUGGUACUGGCUGUGCCUUUCAUGGGAUGCUUACUUAUCCUGGUCGAUGGCCUAAAGCCCAACCGUCCAGCUUAUAUCCAGGGAUAAACUCAGCCUGCGGGGCCUCAGGAAGAAGGUCGUAGCCAUUUCAUUGAGUCCAGGGCAGAAAAGUGGAAGAAAAAUGUGAAUGUGUUAAUUUGAGGACUUUAGCUCUGAGAGGUUUCAGGAUUCAGUCCAAAAUGCAGAAAACAAUAAAAAGCUCAAAAACAAUGGACAAGACUAGAAUCUAACAACAGGGUCUCAAGCCACCCAGGCUGGAGUGCAGUGGCACAAUUAUGGCUCACUGUAGCCUCACCUUCCUGGGAUCAAGCAAUCUUCUUUCUUCAGCCUCCAGAGGAGCUGGGACCACAGAUCCUUUGGCAUUUGAGAGUUGCUUUGUGUAUACGGUCCUUUAACGGAGCAAAUGGCCAGCCAGGAAACCAAAGUAUGGACAAGGGGAAAGAAGCGUCUGUGGAGGAAGUUUUACAAGCGCCCUCCUCAUCCAUUUGGGUGGUGUUGCCCAUAUGCUACAUGUCUGUGGACCACUAUGUGUGUUUAAAGCUUUUUAGUAAAACGUUACUAAAAACUAUGACUCACUGUGGUGAAAAAGGUGGCAAAACAGUGACAACACAACACGGAGAUGCAUUGACACCCUUCUUCAAUCCAGAGGAUGGGCCAUCAACUCACAAAAGUACAAGGCCUGGAACCAGCUGCAAAGUUCCUAUGGAUCACUUGGCCAGGUUCUGGGAGCAUGUAAGGCCAUGCAGCACAUUGAGCCUGUAACUGAUC